rnacentral:rRNA from 1 species
AGAACGAACGCUGGCGGCAUGCCUAACACAUGCAAGUCGAACGCUUUUGGGGCUUCGGUCCCAAAGGAGUGGCGCACGGGUGAGUAGCGCGUGGGAACCUGCCCUGUUGUGGGGGAUAACCGAGGGAAACUUCGGCUAAUACCGCAUACGCCCGGGGGAAACUCCGGGGAAAGAUUUAUCGCAGCAGGAGGGGCCCGCGUCGGAUUAGGUAGUUGGUGGGGUAACGGCCCACCAAGCCUGUGAUCCGUAGCUGGUCUGAGAGGAUGAUCAGCCACACUGGGACUGAGACACGGCCCAGACUCCUACGGGAGGCAGCAGUGGGGAAUAUUGGACAAUGGGCGGCAAGCCUGAUCCAGCAAUGCCGCGUGAGGGAUGAAGCUUCUCGGAGUGUAAACCCCUUUCGACCCGGACGAAAGCCCCGCAAGGGGACUGACGGUACGGGUAUAAGAAGCCCCGGCUAACUACGCGCCAGCAGCCGC